rnacentral:lncRNA from 1 species
AGGAUGCUACAUAGGUAAGAAUGGGGCUAUGUAGAAUAUGUAAAUAAAUUUUGUGGUAAGUUACUGGUUGGUUAUUGACAACCUUGAGGAUUAGACUUAUCAUUAGGCAGUUUAGUUGGUAACCAUAGGUUGUUAAUGGAAUAAAUGGUUAAGAACUCAAAGAUUCAUAACCUUUGGAAUCUGCUGGCCGAUGGUCCAUCUUUUGAUAGGAUAAAGAGGUUGAGAAAAGGAAGAUCAGAGCUAGAUUGUGAGAGUCAUAAGCCGGUAUAAGCUUAGUGCUACUUCUUUGUUUUCUUUGCUUUUAUUAUUUAUUUAUGAAGAAUUGUGAUUGAGAGAAGUAUUGUUGAAACUGUGAUUAGAAUAUUAUAGAAUGACUUUGGAAUUACCAUUUUGAAAAAAAUCUAUGACCUUUAGAAUUGAGAUUAUCAAAUUGUAUUGCGAUAAGUGAAGAUAUUGAAUUAUGUGUGAUGAAUUGAAAUACUGAAUAUAAUAAGUAAGUUGAAGAUCAGUAAUUAAAUAUAUAUAAACCACAAAGAGAGUAAGUGGAAGAUGAAUCGAUAAGAAUAUAGAAAUAUUAUUGAAUUUAUAUUCAUAGAAUGGAUUAUAUAUUGAAUUAAGACAGAAGUAGUAAGCCUUGGUGUUUUGUAUUUUGAUAAUUGAUUUCAGAUAGCUAAAGUACAGUUAAUUGUGACACUAAAAGAUCCAAUUCAUAUAACCAGUCUUUUUUCGUAUUCGAACUCACCUCUAUGAAUUCAAUUGCUUUGGUAUAUUGAAGCUUGAACACAACGAGAACAAUAAGUGCUUGUGAAUUAGGGUUUAGAGUAU